UACGUAGGGUGCAAGCGUUGUCCGGAAUUAUUGGGCGUAAAGAGCUCGUAGGCGGUUUGUCGCGUCGGCUGUGAAAACCCGGGGCUCAACCCCGGGCCUGCAGUCGAUACGGGCAGACUAGAGUGCGGUAGGGGUGACUGGAAUUCCUGGUGUAGCGGUGGAAUGCGCAGAUAUCAGGAGGAACACCGAUGGCGAAGGCAGGUCACUGGGACGGUACUGACGCUGAGACGCGAAAGCGUGGGGAGCGAACAGG
rnacentral:rRNA from 1 species